rnacentral:misc_RNA from 1 species
GGGAUGCCUAAGGUAGGACUGAUGACUGGGGUGAAGUCGUAACAAGGUAGCCGUACCGGAAGGUGUGGCUGGAUCACCUCCUUUUAGGGAGACCCAAAUCAAGUCAAAAGGCAAAAGUCAAAAGUCAAAAAUCAAGACCUAGACAAAAAACCUAGACUUCGGUUUAUCCCAAGGUCGGUCGAGAUUGGUAGAUAUCUUUCAAAGUAUUAUUCGGCUUAGUUCAAAAAUUGAAUCAAAGUGAGCACCUAACAAACAUAGUUAGACUGCUGGGUUAAAUUCCAGCCAGAACCUUGAAAACUGCAUAAGAGAAAGAGAAAAAGCACCGCAGACACAGACAUUGAGAUGGAUGUGAAAGCAAACAAGCAGACAUUGUGGUCAAGCUAAUAAGGGCUAAUGGUGGAUACCUAGGCACC